AAUUGAAAGUCUACAGAAUUUGCUUAUAAUUUGUGUCUCAAUCAAAUUAAACAAAAUCCCGAACGAAAUCAACUUGGCACCUUAAUAAAAGCAGCGCCAUAUGGAUAGAGAGAUACCGAUACCAAGAUCGAGACCGAGCCGCGACUCACAAGUCAGAUACAUCAUUUAGAAACGUUUAUUGCUAAGAUAAAUUCAGCAAGGAGUUUAAUAGCCACUAUCAAUAUUUGUACAACAAAUAAGCGACGAGCGCGACCGAGCUCAAUGCGAGGCGGCGUAAAAUGUCGCAGCCAUAAGAUAGAGACGAAAUCGUAGCAGCAACAGCAGCAGCAGCAGCAGCAGCAACAACAGAUGCGUAAGGCGAAUUAACACAAACGCGUUAAUACAAUUAGUUUAAAAGUGAAAAAUCUCGUAUACAAUAUAUAUAUUUAUAUAUACACAUAUAUAUGCAUGAUUCGAUGAGGCGAAAAAAAAAACUGUUAACUAAAUAAUAAAAUUGAAAAAAAGAAAAAAACAAAAUAUAUACGCAGCGAGGCUGUCGACAAAAAGCGCCACAACAAAUUUGCAACUUUACACUCGUCGUCGGUUUUCAGUCGCGAAAUGAAGCCACAGCCUCAGAGCUGAACCACAGAGCGCGUGUGCCCACACAUACAAAACAGAAAUAUAAAACGAAA